GAGACACUUUGCAUGAGAGAGUUUAUAGUGCUGUGAGUUUAACACUUCAUGACUGAGAGCAGAACAGAACACAAUCUUCAUCAUCACACAAGACACAACAACAACAAUGAACAACAUCAUCAUCCUCAUCUGGACUCUCACACUGUUUGCUCAAGAGAGUAGAGGACAGAUCACUGUAACUCAGAGUCCCUCAAUAACAGCAGCUCAACCAGGACAAGAAGUCAGAAUUAACUGUAAAACCAGCAGUUCAGUGUAUGCUAAUAAUUAUUUAGCCUGGUAUUUACAGAAACCUGGAGAAGCUCCUAAACUCCUCAUAUAUUAUGCAACAACCCGUAACACUGGAACCCCAUCUAGAUUCAGUGGCAGUGGAUCUAACAGUGAUUUCACUCUGACCAUCAGUGGAGUCCAGACUGAAGAUACAGGAGAUUAUUACUGUCUGAGUUACCACUGGAUCAACAGUAAAGCUGUGAUCACACAGUGAUAAAGAGUCGUACAAAAACCUCCGUCAGUCAGAGUCACAGUGACUGUACUGAUACAGCUGAGAGAUACUGCAGCUGCUC